rnacentral:lncRNA from 1 species
UGCAAUACAUACAUCAAGUGUUCUUAAAGACUCAAUCCGAUAAGAUAACUCCAAAGGGAAAACUCAAUUCAUUACAAGAAGGGAGAGGGGGAAGAACAUCAUAGGAUCCAACUAUAGUAGCAAAGCCCGCGGUACAUCGAGAUCAUGACAUCUCAAGAACACGAGAGAGAGAUUUCAAACACAUAGCUACUGGUACAUACCCUCAGCCCCGAGGGAGAACUGCUCCCUCCUCGUCAUGGAGAUCGUCGGGAUGAUGAAGAUGGCCACCGGAGAUGGAUUCCCCCUCCAGU